AGCGAACGCUGGCGGCAGGCCUAACACAUGCAAGUCGAACGAACCUUUCGGGGUUAGUGGCGGACGGGGGAGUAACACGUGGGAACGUGCCUUUAGGUUCGGAAUAACUCAGGGGAACUUGUGCUAAUACCGAAUGUGCCCCUCGGGGGGAAGAUUAAUCGCCUUUAGAGCGGCCCGCGUCUGAUUAGCUAGUUGGUUGAGGUAAUGGCUCACCAAGGCGACGAUCAGUAGCUGGUCUGAGAGGAUGAUCAGCCACAUUGGGACUGAGACACGGCCCAAACUCCUACGGGAGGCAGCAGUGGGGAAUCUUGCGCAAUGGGCGAAAGCCUGACGCAGCCAUGCCGCGUGAAUGAUGAAGGUCUUAGGAUUGUAAAACUCUUUCACCGGGGACGAUAAUGACGGUACCCGGAGAAGAAGCCCCGGCUAACUUCGUG
rnacentral:rRNA from 1 species